AUGCCCAGUGAUUAUAAAAAGACGCGUUAUUCUGAGGAAUGUAACCUGCUGCUAGCUUUCCCCUCCCUUUUUCAAUCCAUCUAUUUUUCUCCAAACUUUCCUUUCUUCUCCACUCCUCCUCUUUUCAAAACUAGCAGCUGGUCCACUGACUGCGAUUAUGAGAGAUGAGGGCAA